rnacentral:rRNA from 1 species
UACAGAGGUGGCAAGCGUUGUUCGGAAUUACUGGGCGUAAAGGGCGCGUAGGCGGCCUACUAAGUCAGACGUGAAAUCCCCAGGCUUAACCUGGGAACUGCGUCUGAUACUGGAUGGCUUGAAUUCGGGAGAGGGAUGCAGAAUUCCAGGUGUAGCGGUGAAAUGCGUAGAUAUCUGGAGGAAUACCGGUGGCGAAGGCGGCAUCCUGGACCGACAUUGACGCUGAGGAGCGAAAGCUAGGGGAGCAAACGGG